rnacentral:rRNA from 1 species
GGCGUGGCGGCCGGUGCCUAACACAUGCAAGUCCGAAGCGUCUUGUGCUUCGGCACAGAUGAGUGGCGAACGGGUGAGUAACGCGUGAGUAACGUCCCCUUGGGGAGGGGGAUAACCAUCUGAAAAGGUGGCUAAUACCCAUAUUCUCUUUUCUCAUAAGAGGAAGGGAGGAAAGGUGGCGCAAGCUGCCACCCCGAGAGAGGCUCGCGUCCCAUCAGCUAGUUGGUAGGGUAAUGGCCUACCAAGGCUAUGACGGGUAGCUGGUCUGAGAGGAUGGUCAGCCACACUGGGACUGAGACACGGCCCAGACUCCUACGGGAGGCAGCAGUGAGGAAUCUUGGGCAAUGGGCGAAAGCCUGACCCAGCGACGCCGCGUGGAGGAAGAAGGCCUUCGGGUCGUAAACUCCUGUUUGGGGAGAAGAACAAGAGAGAAGUUAAUAGCUUCUCUCUCUGACGGUAUCCCCGGAGAAAGCUCCGGCUAAUUACGUG